AUUGAACGCUGGCGGCAGGCUUAACACAUGCAAGUCGAGCGGAGAUGAGGUGCUUGCACCUUAUCUUAGCGGCGGACGGGUGAGUAAUGCUUAGGAAUCUGCCUAUUAGUGGGGGACAACAUUCCGAAAGGAAUGCUAAUACCGCAUACGCCCUACGGGGGAAAGCAGGGGAGCUUCGGCGCUUGCGCUAAUAGAUGAGCCUAAGUCGGAUUAGCUAGUUGGUGGGGUAAAGGCCUACCAAGGCGACGAUCUGUAGCGGGUCGGAGAGGAUGAUCCGCCACACUGGGACUGAGACACGGCCCAGACUCCUACGGGAGGCAGCAGUGGGGAAUAUUGGACAAUGGGCGGAAGCCUGAUCCAGCCAUGCCGCGUGUGUGAAGAAGGCCUUUUGGUCGUAAAGCACUUUAAGCGAGGAGGAGGCUACCUGGAUUAAUACUCUAGGAUAGUGGACGUUACUCGCAGAAUAAGCACCGGCUAACUCUGUGCCAGCCGCCGCCGUAACAC
rnacentral:rRNA from 1 species